rnacentral:misc_RNA from 1 species
AAGUCGUAACAAGGUUUCCGUAGGUGAACCUGCGGACGGAUCAUUAACACGUAUCCAUUCGUUAAAACCCCCCCCGUGAACCUUCAUCCUGCUCUUGUAACCCGCGUAGUUCGCAAUCUCUGAUAAAUCAUAGCCCGGAAAGUUGUAGUGAUUCAGAGACAUCUGGCUACGUGCGAACAUUGGAACAGUUACAAUCGAGCGGUAGUUCUAUAGGCAAUGUUUCCCCAAGCAGUCAGUGUCGGAAAGUGUCAUUGAUUGUGCAAGGAUAGCGCUUCUACGAUUCCUGUAGACCGUACACACAAUGGAUAUCUUGGUUCUC